UGGGGAAUUUUGGACAAUGGGCGAAAGCCUGAUCCAGCAAUGCCGCGUGUGUGAAGAAGGCCUUCGGGUUGUAAAGCACUUUUGUCCGGAAAGAAAUGGCUCUGGUUAAUACCUGGGGUCGAUGACGGUACCGGAAGAAUAAGGACCGGCUAACUACGUGCCAACAGCCGCGGUAAUACGUAGGGUCCAAGCGUUAAUCGGAAUUACUGGGCGUAAAGCGUGCGCAGGCGGUUGUGCAAGACCGAUGUGAAAUCCCCGAGCUUAACUUGGGAAUUGCAUUGGUGACUGCACGGCUAGAGUGUGUCAGAGGGGGGUUAGAAUUUCCACGUGUAGCAGUGAAAUGCGUAGAGAUGUGGAGGAAUACCGAUGGCGAAGGCAGCCCCCUGGGAUAACACUGACACUCAUGCACGAAAGCGUGGGGAGCAAACAGGAUUAGAUACCCCUGGUAGUCCACGCCCUAAACGAUGUCAACUAGUUGUUGGGGGAUUCAUUUCCUUAGUAACGUAGCUAACGCGUGAAGUUGACCGCCUGGGGAGUACGGUC
rnacentral:rRNA from 1 species